UGCUCCCACCACUCUACCGCAUGCUAACAAGCACUUUGAAGUACUAACAACCGCGCGAAUCGUGUGCAAACACGCAGCUUUUCAUAUCACGGGAGUAGACGGAGGAGCGAUUCACCACUCGGCACAGAACAACAAACUGCGAAGCAAGACACCCGUUGGAGAGAAUUGGCCGGACAGACGCAUGCCGCUAUGCUGUUGAGAUUCUGAUCAUGGCCGAGCACCACCUGCGAAGUUUGCCGAGGUGAGCAGUUGGAGUAUCUGGAGUGAUCGGUCCGCUGAUCCGAUUGUUGUGGCUGUGACCGGGUAAGGAUGUGAGCAGCUGCCAGGAAGAAGCCAUUCCACCGCGUCUGCAUGGCCAGACAGCCACGACGUUCAGCUGAUGUGUUUAUGGUACUGUUAACCAGGCUUGAAACCAUACUGAUGACGACUAGACAGUGGCAAUUUAAAAAUUAUUUGUGGUGCAGCCGGUUGAGAUCAUGGUAAGCAAUGCCAGUCGGCAUAGCACUCUCCUUUUAGAGAGUGUCAGCCAUGCCGCACACAUGAUGGAAGACCACGUUCAUGCCUUCAGUCCGAGCAGGGCAUGCCUUCAGUGAAACUGUGCAAUGUUCUCCGAAUAGUAGAAACGGAAUACUUUGUCUUGGUCUUCGCACUCGGUAGUAUCUAGAAUAUGGGCCGGCCGCAGCCCUGGUGCCUCAAGUUUUCAUGAAAGGCCCCAAAAUACUUUUUUUGGACCAAAAGAGCUUUACGAAAAUGCUCCAAGUUUCGCAUUUUCCACACUUUAAUAUUGGAAACCAGAAUAUAACGCGUACAAAUAAAAGAAGGAGCCAGAGGAUUCCAUAGCGGAUACAUGUAAGUCAGUGUAUUCUGUCGGCGUGCUGCAAGAUAUACGGAAAUGGCCAAACGAAACAUGUCCAAACUGGGGCAUGAAGUCAUAGAUGCUUCCACAACUGGUAGUCGCAGUUCCCACGCCGAUGAUGUCGGAAGAUGCAACCACGUCAAGUCAUGUCCUCGCUAUAUCAAAGUACAUGUAGCAAGACUUCUACUUGAAGUCUACAGCUAGAGCAUGUAGACUAAUAUGCCAACCACUCAACUCUACUUUGCAUCCAAACAGCAGUUCGAAAAAUGCAAGCAAUUCCCCAAAAUAGCCAAACAUGGUUAAAUAGCUUAGAAGGCUUUUUCUUAUGAGUCCCUAAAAUUAUGUCAAUUUCCAACAUUUGGUUGAAUCGGUCUCUUAUCUAUAUAUAUAUAAAGUAGCAUUUGAAAAAGAAAAGGAAAAUCAACCAAUAGUUCGGCCCAGUGAGCCAUCAUCAAGAACCAAACUGCUGCCAUUGGCGUAAAUGGCUGAAAAGGUUUUCCCUUUUAAAAGUUAAAAUAUUCUAAA